AUCCAUUAACUACACUUAGACAAAUACGAGAGAUAAUCACAGUCCUCGUUACUCAGUUCCUCUGUAAAUCCUUCUGGGCUUUAUUCCUGUUUCAUCUGCUGUCUGAGAAUACACCACAUAGGACCACGUCUGUUAAAUAAAGCAGUCCAAGCAGUCUUUCAAUAAAUGGGUCACCUUGAAAGUU